CCUACGGGAGGCAGCAGUGGGGAAUAUUGGACAAUGGGCGAAAGCCUGAUCCAGCCAUGCCGCGUGUGUGAAGAAGGCCUUCGGGUUGUAAAGCACUUUCAGUGGGGAAGAAAGCCUUGGGGCUAAUACCCUCGAGGAAGGACAUCACCCACAGAAGAAGCACCGGCUAACUCCGUGCCAGCAGCCGCGGUAAUACGGAGGGUGCGAGCGUUAAUCGGAAUUACUGGGCGUAAAGCGCGCGUAGGCGGUCUGAUAAGCCGGGUGUGAAAGCCCCGGGCUCAACCUGGGAACGGCAGCCGGAACGGUCAGGCUAGAGUGCAGGAGAGGAAGGUAGAAUUCCCGGUGUAGCGGUGAAAUGCGUAGAGAUCGGGAGGAAUACCAGUGGCGAAGGCGGUCUUCUGGACUGACACUGACGCUGAGGUGCGAAAGCGUGGGUAGCAAACAGGAUUAGAUACCCGGGUAGUC
rnacentral:rRNA from 1 species